CCACGGACCUCCCGGUCGCGGCCAGUUACGACAGAGCCUGGGCGCGAACCCAGAGUCUCUGAUGGCACAGCUGGCGCUGCAGUACAGCGCCCUUAACCACUGAAGCUGCAACAUUUCUACACGGUUCUGACCACCAACACAGACGGAUGGAAAGAGUUUCUACCAUGAAAGCAAAUCGCUAUCCGUUCUAUGCUGUCCAGUGGCACCCUGAGACGAGUCCCUUUGAGUGGGUAGAUAAACCAGGCAUGGUCCACUCUGCUGCCUCCGUCAGAGCAUCCUUCUACACAGCACACAUCUUUGUCUCCGAGGCUGACAUUGUCAAGCAAUCUUCAACCAAUCAGCUGACAUCAACCCAUCAUCAGCCAAUCAGCUGACAUCAACCCAUCAGCCAAUCAGCUGACAUCGUCAAGCCAUCAACCAGUCUGCUAACCUCAUCAAGCAGUCAGCUGACAUCAACCCAUCAUCAACCAAUCAGCUGACAUCCUCAACCAAUUAGCUGACAUCAACAAAUCUGCUGACAUCAUCAAGCCAUCAUCAACCAAUCAGAUGGUGUCAUCAAGCCAUUGUGAAAAGUCCUGAAUAUUCAGAUUCAAGAACACAUGCUUCCAGAACGGGCCCUUUACUUUGAUAGUAUACACUAGAUGGUGCUAUUGUAGCA